AAGCUGCAAGUAAAAAUGCAGUUAGGCCUGACAUUCAAUGCUGGAGCCAGGCGUGGGGAGAGUGAGCAAUGGCUUCUCCCCGGAGUUUGGGGGGCGGGGAGUGCACCCUGUUCUAGGCUCAGAAGUGCCUUUAUUAAUUAGAUUAUUUAAAUGCAGCCUUCCCCCAGAUGGUACUCUCCAGCUGUUUUGGACUACAACUCCCAUCAGCUCCAGCACCCUAUGGCAAUGCCGUCUGUGACCGACAUCGAGUUGUAGUCCAAAAAAGCUGGAGAGCACCAGCUUGAGAAAGGCUGGUUGCGUAACUGAGCUAGCCAAGCAGUGUACCGCUGCCAUCCUGGGGCAUCCAGCAGGGAAGUGUGCUUGGAGAAGUGCAAGCGUGCUUUUAGCCCUGGGGGGUGGGACACAGAAGUUCUUGGUUCCUCUCUUUUCUCUCUCCCUCCCUUGCUGCUAUUAACACACAUCUCAAGCUGAUCAUUUCCUCAUUUUUUGUGCUUUUAGUUAUUUUCACACAUGCACACACACCAGGGUAGCUCCUUAAAAUGGGUGGUUUGUGGUUUUUCUUAAAAAAUACUUUGUUUUACAAAA